rnacentral:rRNA from 1 species
AGCGAACGCUGGCGGCAGGCUUAACACAUGCAAGUCGAACGCCCCGCAAGGGGAGUGGCAGACGGGUGAGUAACACGUGGGAACGUACCCUUUGGUUCGGAAUAACUUGGGGAAACUCAAGCUAAUACCGGAUAAGCCCUUAUGGGGAAAGGUUUACUGCCGAAGGAUCGGCCCGCGUCUGAUUAGCUCGUUGGUGAGGUAAUGGCUCACCAAGGCGACGAUCAGUAGCUGGUCUGAGAGGAUGAUCAGCCACACUGGGACUGAGACACGGCCCAGACUCCUACGGGAGGCAGCAGUGGGGAAUAUUAGACAAUGGGGGCAACCCUGAUCCAGCCAUGCCGCGUGAGUGAUGAAGGCCUUAGGGUUGUAAAGCUCUUUUACCCGGGACGAUAAUGACUGUACCGGGAGAAUAAGCCCCGGCUAACUUCGUGCCAGCAGCCGCAGUAA